rnacentral:rRNA from 1 species
GGGCCCGCACAAGCGGUGGAGCAUGUGGUUUAAUUCGAUGAUACGCGAGGAACCUUACCAGGGCUUAAAUGGAAAAUGACAGGGGCAGAGACGCCCCCUUCUUCGGACGGUCUGCAAGGUGCUGCAUGGUUGUCGUCAGCUCGUGCUGUGAAGUGUCGGGUUAAGUCCCAUAACGAGCGCAACCCCUAUUUCUAGUUGCCAGCGGUUCGGCCGGGGACUCUAGAGAAACUGCCAGCGUAAGCUGUGAGGAAGGUGGGGAUGACGUCAAAUCAUCACGGCCCUUACAUCCUGGGCCACACACGUGCUACAAUGGUGGGGACAACAGGUUGCCAACCCGCGAGGGUGAGCCAAUCCCAAAACCCCAUCUCAGUUCGGAUCGGAGUCUGCAACUCGACUCCGUGAAGUUGGAGUCGCUAGUAAUCGCGGAU